rnacentral:tRNA from 1 species
GCGACCGUGGCGCAAUCGGCUAGCGCGUUCGGCUGUUAACCGAAAGGUUGGUGGUUCGAGCCCACCUGGUCGCG